GGGCUCAUAGCUCAGUGGUUAGAGCAGCCGGCUCAUAACCGGCCGGUCGCUGGUUCAAAUCCAGCUGAGCCCACCA
rnacentral:tRNA from 1 species